GCAAUUUGCAUGUCGGAUUAAUAAUUGUAUAGAGCAAUGUUGUUACUAUCCAGUCCAGUCGCUACACUCUAAAAUUAUUAUCCAAUCCAUGAAUCAAGAAUAUAUAAAUAAUAUGCAAACUCCAGUAUCCAAUUCAGAUCGCUGGAAAAUGGAGUACCCUCAAGUCAGAAGAGACGAAUCUAUGAUUGAUUGUUACUAUGGAAACGUCCACGUUCCAGAUCCAUAUCGUUGGAUGGAAAAUUCAGAAUCCGACGAGGUAAAGAAAUUCGUGGAAGCGCAAAACCAACUUACACGAAAUUAUGUUGAAACGCAAAUCCGUUCCGAAAUUGAAAAAGCAUUAACCAUAGCGUUUGACUAUGCGAGAAUUACUACCCCAGAGAAGCAUGGCGAUCGGUAUUUCUUCUUUAAAAAUACCGGAACUCAAGAUCAAGACGUGUGGUAUGUCCAAGAUUCAUUAAGUUCGGAACCACGCGUAUUCUUGGACCCGAACGCGACAUAUCAAGAUGGAUUGGUCGGUGUGUAUACCAGCAGCUUUUCUCCGGAUGGGUGUCUUGUUGCGUAUGGACUCAGUUAUGGUGGGAGUGACUGGUUAAAAGUUCACGUUAAAAAUGUGGAUACUGGUGUAGACUUUGAAGAAGUUUUGGAACAAAUAAAGUUCACUCGGUUCCAGUGGACGUUGGACAGCCUUGGAUUCUUUUAUGCACGAUAUCCAGACUACAACGGAGCAGAUGGGGAUAAAGGAUUGCACAGGAUUUAUUAUCAUCGCGUAGGAUCGCCUCAGCACGAAGACGUGAUAGUUGCUGAUUUUCCAGAUAACCCAGAUUGGAUCUUGGGAGGAAUUAAUGUGACAGGAGAUGGAAAGUACCUGUUGGUAUUUCCAUCCAUAGGAAUUUUAGGAGCGCAGGGUGACACAAUGUUUUAUUAUGGUGACCUCAGCGAUGGAUCAUUUUCGGGAAAAGAUAAGCUUAAUUUGGUCCCAGUCAUAACAAAGUUCGAGGCAGAGUACCAUUAUGUGGCUAAUGAUGGACCACUAAUCUACUUGAGAACGAACAAGGCAGCUCCCAACUAUCGCAUAGUAGGGAUUGACGUUACAAAUGUGGACGAGUCAUCUUGGAUGGUUCUCGUUCGUGAGGAAUCUCAUCGAGUCCUUCAGUUUGCUUUCGCCAUUAUGAAGGACAAAGUAGUUUUAGGCUAUUUAGAAGAUUGCAGAAGCAAAUUGGAACUAAGAAAUAUGCAGGAUGGGAACACGGUUUUGAGGAGCUUUGAUAAUGACAUAGAAAUUGGAUCCAUUUGGACAUUUAGUGGGAAGCGUAGCCAAGACGAAUUCUUCUUUAAGUUGGAAUCAUUUCUUAUUCCGGGAAAAGUGUAUCAUGUAGAUUUAACCACGGCUGAUCCAAAACUAAGUGUACACCAAGAAGUUGUUGCUGCUGGUGUAAAAGAGUCAAACCUUGUUGUCAAUCAAGUUUUUUACUUUAGUAAAGACGGGACCAAAGUUCCAAUGUUUAUCAUGCACAAAAAGGACUAUGCGCAUAAUAUUAACUCUCCAACUUACCUGUACGGGUAUGGAGGACUUAAUGUUAGCAUGUUACCGUGGUUCAGUGCGGAAAGGGUUGUAUUUGUGUCUAGUUUUGAUGGAGUGUAUGCUAUUCCAAAUAUUCGAGGGGGCGGGUUAGAACAGAUCGCCAAUUUUUACAAUUGUUUACGGGUUGAUAAUUAUUUAAUUUUUUGCAGGGAAUAUGGUGAAGCUUGGCACCGGGGAGGAUGCCUUUUAAAUAAGCAAAAUUCAUUUAAUGAUUUCCAAUGUGCAGCGGAAUACUUGAUCGAGAAGAAAUAUACGGUCCCGUCAAAGCUGGUAAUUAAUGGCGAUUCCAAUGGAGGUUUUCUAGUGGGAGCGUGUAUUAACCAACGACCAGACUUGUUUGGGGCCGCAAUUGCAGGAUGUGGUCCAUUGGAUAUGCUCCGAUACCACAAGUUGGGCACGAUGGGGGCAACAGCUUCGACAGAAUUUGGAUGCUCGGAUGACGGGAAUAUAGAUAAUUUUAAUAAUCUAUUCCGUCUCUCUCCACUUCACAAUAUAAAGAUGCCUGAAGAUGAAAAUACCCAGUAUCCAGCAGUUUUUCUUAUGACUGGUGGGAAUGAUGACACAGUUGUCCCCGCCCAUUCGUGCAAACAUGCGGCUGAGAUGCAAUUCAAGAUCGGAAACCAUACAAGACAAAAAACCUCACAAAUCCGAAAAUGCAGUUGACGAUAGAAACGGAAGACUAAACAUCUCUGUAUCCACUGAUCCGACAGAUCUAAAAACAAAAAGUUUUGGUCAGAAGGCAUAGAGAAGUCAGCUAAAAACACUUUUAAGCCAAUAAAAAUUUGUAAACCGGUUAAAAUUUGCAGAAGUAGUCGAAAAAAGAGGGUUUUUAACCCCUGGAGUACUCGGGAGAUAGCCAAGUAUUCACUGAUGAUAGCCAUAUCGAAUUACGCGGACAAUGUAACCCACAAAAUUUGAGAUACAGGACGGAAGAAAGAAAGGAUGUACCACCAAUUGUAAGACCGAAACACGACAGCUAAAACAUGGUCGCUUGUGUUUUUUUUGUUAGUGGCAAUUGAAAACUACAUUUUGUUUCAACGAGUCAAAAAGUUAACGCAGCCAAUUAUCAACCAAAAAUUCUCCCCACAUAUUUCGAGGCCAUGGAUAUAAGUAUCGUUUCAAGUAGAAGGAACAAAGAUUCUCAAUAAGAUGAAGCUCCAGCACACGCGGCAAAGUCGACAAUGAAGCUGUGGGAUAGGAGAGUUGGAAUCGUGUAGGGCAGGGGGGUGUGGUCUGAAAACUCUCCGGAUUUGAACCCGAUCGAACACUUAUGGUCCGGACCAAAAGAUUCGGCUUACCAGGAACCUUAUCCAACAACAGUACAUGAAUUACAGGCCCGUUUCGAAGAAAAUUGGAAUUCACUUCCGGUUGAGCUUUUACAAAAACUCGCAAAAAGUUUUAAAACGAGAGUGGAAAAAAUGAUGAAAACUGAUGCCAGACAUACGACAUAUUGGGACAAACCCUAUUCUUCUUAAUGUGACACCAGGAGUCGGCCAUAGUUACGGUAAACCAACAAGGGUUUUGGUCUCGGAAUUUGCAGAUAUCUAUAGUUUCUUGGUGCAAGCGUUGGGAUUUGAGUUCAAAC